rnacentral:rRNA from 1 species
UACAGAGGGGGCAAGCGUUAUUCGGAAUUAUUGGGCGUAAAGGGCGCGUAGGCGGUCGUGACAAGUCACUUGUGAAAUCUCCGGGCUUAACUCGGAACGGUCAAGUGAUACUGUCGGACUAGAGUACAGAAGGGGCAACUGGAAUUCUCGGUGUAGCGGUGAAAUGCGUAGAUAUCGGGAAGAACACCAAAGGCGAAAGCACUCUGCUGGGCCGAAACUGACACUGAUAGACGAAAGCUAGGGGAGCAAAUGGG